rnacentral:rRNA from 1 species
UACAGAGGUCUCAAGCGUUGUUCGGAUUCAUUGGGCGUAAAGGGUGUGUAGGUGGCGCCGUAAGUCGGGUGUGAAAUUUCGGAGCUUAACUCCGAAACUGCAUUCGAUACUGCGGUGCUUGAGGACUGGAGAGGAGACUGGAAUUCAUGGUGUAGCAGUGAAAUGCGUAGAGAUCAUGAGGAAGACCAGUGGCGAAGGCGGGUCUCUGGACAGUUCCUGACGCUGAGGCACGAAGGCCAGGGGGAGGCAAACGGG